GCCGGGCUGCGCGCGCGCCUCGUCCGAACAUAAAUACAAUAAAAUAUGGAAAUGGCAAGUCAGUCCGCGACAGGUGCGCGGCCGCGGCAUUCGUGCACGUGUGCUGUUAGUGAGUGCGCCAGCGCUGCCGCUUUCUCUACAACCCUCGGCACCGCAAGCAUCUGCCGUUCCGGUGCAGCUGCUGUCCGCUGAAUAGAACGAAGCAAACCAUUCACGGAGUAGAGAUCGAUUCGACGUCUGCA